CUAGAGUUCUGGGCCGCACGCGCGCUACACUGACAGAGCCAACGAGUUCAUUUCCUUAGCCGAAAGGUUUGGGUAAUCUUGUUAAACUCUGUCGUGCUGGGGAUAGAGCAUUGCAAUUAUUGCUCUUCAACGAGGAAUGCCUAGUAAGCGCAUGUCAUCAGCAUGCGUUGAUUACGUCCCUGCCCUUUGUACACACCGCCCGUCGCUACUACCGAUUGAAUGGCUCGGUGAGGCCUUCGGACUGGCCCAGGGAGGUCGGCAACGACCACCCAGGGCCGGAAAGUUGGUCAAACCCGGUCAUUUAGAGGAAGUAAAAGUCGUAACAAGGUCUCCGUAGGUGAACCUGCGGAGGGAUCAUUACAAGUGACCCCGGUUUACCACCGGGAUGUUCAUAACCCUUUGUUGUCCGACUCUGUUGCCUCCGGGGCGACCCUGCCUUCGGGCGGGGGCUCCGGGUGGACACUUCAAACUCUUGCGUAACUUUGCAGUCUGAGUAAACUUAAUUAAUAAAUUAAAACUUUUAACAACGGAUCUCUUGGUUCUGGCAUCGAUGAAGAACGCAGCGAAAUGCGAUAAGUAAUGUGAAUUGCAGAAUUCAGUGAAUCAUCGAAUCUUUGAACGCACAUUGCGCCCCCUGGUAUUCCGGGGGGCAUGCCUGUUCGAGCGUCAUUUCACCACUCAAGCCUCGCUUGGUAUUGGGCAACGCGGUCCCCCCGUGCCUCAAAUCGACCGGCUGGGUCUUCUGUCCCCUAAGCGUUGUGGAAACUAUUCCCUAAAGGGGGCUCGGGAGGCUACCC
rnacentral:rRNA from 1 species